CAUGCAGUCGAACGAUGAACCACUUCGGUGGGGAUUAGUGGCGAACGGGUGAGUAACACGUGGGCAAUCUGCCCUUCACUCUGGGACAAGCCCUGGAAACGGGGUCUAAUACCGGAUAUCACUCCCGCAGGCAUCUGUGGGGGUCGAAAGCUCCGGCGGUGAAGGAUGAGCCCGCGGCCUAUCAGCUUGUUGGUGAGGUAACGGCUCACCAAGGCGACGACGGGUAGCCGGCCUGAGAGGGCGACCGGCCACACUGGGACUGAGACACGGCCCAGACUCCUACGGGAGGCAGCAGUGGGGAAUAUUGCACAAUGGGCGAAAGCCUGAUGCAGCGACGCCGCGUGAGGGAUGACGGCCUUCGGGUUGUAAACCUCUUUCAGCAGGGAAGAAGCGAAAGUGACGGUACCUGCAGAAGAAGCGCCGGCUAACUACGUGCCAGCAGCCGCGGUAAUACGUAGGGCGCAAGCGUUGUCCGGAAUUAUUGGGCGUAAAGAGCUCGUAGGCGGCUUGUCACGUCGGGUGUGAAAGCCCGGGGCUUAACCCCGGGUCUGCAUUCGAUACGGGCUAGCUAGAGUGUGGUAGGGGAGAUCGGAAUUCCUGGUGUAGCGGUGAAAUGCGCAGAUAUCAGGAGGAACACCGGUGGCGAAGGA
rnacentral:rRNA from 1 species